GACGGCAGCUUUCCGGUGGUGGGAAAGUGAACGAAUCCCGAAUCAAAGCGGCGCAUUGAGGCAGGUGGGGUGCCAGUGGAAGAGAGAAAGCAGGCGAGUGUUUACGGCCUGACUUGGGAGGCCGGCGGAUCAGCAAUUGCAGAAGCAGGCAGCGGCAGAGAGGGAAUGGUGCAGGCAGGCGCUGAGAAGGACGCGCAGUCCAUCUCUCUCAGAAAAGAACAAUGGGAAACCAAACAUCAAAGAACAGAAAGGAAGAUCCCUAAAUACGUUCCGCCUCACCUUUCUCCAGAUAAGAAGUGGCUUGGAACUCCCAUUGAGGAGAUGAGAAGAAUGCCUCAGUGUGGGAUCCGGCUGCCUCUCUUGAGACCAUCUGCCAAUCACACAGUAACUGUUUGGAAUGGUGAGCGAACUGCGGGGAGCCGGUGGGAGCUCAUUCAGACUGCACUUCUCAACAAAUUUACACGACCCCAAAACUUGAAGGAUGCUAUUCUGAAAUACACUGUGGCAUAUUCUAAGAAAUGGGACUUUACAGCUUUGAUCGAUUUCUGGGAUAAGGUACUUGAAGAAACAGAAGCUCAACAUUUAUAUCAGUCCAUCUUGCCUGAUAUGGUGAAAAUUGCACUCUGUCUGCCAAAUAUUUGCACCCAGCCAAUACCACUCCUGAAACAGAAGAUGAAUCAUUCCAUCACAAUGUCGCAGGAACAGAUUGCCAGUCUUUUAGCUAAUGCUUUCUUCUGCACAUUUCCACGAUGAAAUGCUCAGAUGAAAUCGGAGUAUUCUAGUUACCCAGACAUUAACUUCAAUCGAUUGUUUGAGGGACGUUCAUCAAGGAAACCGGAGAAACUUAAAACGCUCUUCUGCUACUUUAGAAGAGUCACAGAGAAAAGUAAAUUCCUUUCAUUCUUACUGUAAUUUUUCUUGCUGAUGGGAACAGUUCAAGUCAAGUGACAUGUGAGGAACAUUUUGUGUUUAACGUAAACCUUCCUGUCCCAACCACAUUGAAACACUAGUAAUGAUGCGACAAUAUAACCUAGAUUUUAUGCUUAUGUUGUGUAUAAGCAUAAACGUGUGCUAAAUGUAGGGGGGGCGGGGUUUACAUACUCUGAAAUCGGACCCAUAUUCUCUGAAAUCUGUAAUAUACAUCAAAAGAUUUUCAUGAAUAAAAACCAGAGAAAGUAUAUUGACCAGGAAAUAAA
rnacentral:lncRNA from 1 species